GAUGAACGCUGGCGGCGUGCCUAAUACAUGCAAGUCGAGCGAACGGACGAGAAGCUUGCUUCUCUGAUGUUAGCGGCGGACGGGUGAGUAACACGUGGAUAACCUACCUAUAAGACUGGGAUAACUUCGGGAAACCGGAGCUAAUACCGGAUAAUAUUUUGAACCGCAUGGUUCAAAAGUGAAAGACGGUCUUGCUGUCACUUAUAGAUGGAUCUGCGCUGCAUUAGCUAGUUGGUAAGGUAACGGCUUACCAAGGCAACGAUGCAUAGCCGACCUGAGAGGGUGAUCGGCAACACUGGAACUGAGACACGGUCCAGACUCCUACGGAAGGCAGCCGUAGGGAAUCUUCCGCAAUGGGCGAAAGCCUGACGGAGCAACGCCGCGUGAGUGAUGAAGGUCUUCGGAUCGUAAAACUCUGUUAUUAGGGAAGAACAUAUGUGUAAGUAACUGUGCACAUCUUGACGGUACCUAAUCAGAAAGCCACGGCUAACUACGUG
rnacentral:rRNA from 1 species